rnacentral:lncRNA from 1 species
UCCAAUUGUGGAUUGAAGAAGGGGCACCUUUCAUCAACCCCUUCUUGCCGAACUGGGGGGAGAAGUACCACCAGUCCUUCGCCGAAGGAUGGCGCUUGAAAGUAUAGAAGUGCCUAAACAGGGAGAGGGACGGCUGGACCUCGACUACGUGGCAAAGGGAGAGAAAUCCUAUCAAAAACCUAAAAGAAUUCGGGACCACAGAAGCCAAGGAGAUGUCUAAG